GUAAUUUGCCCAUACUGCCAGGAAGCUCUAGGGCUUUCUCAGCGAGGUCUUUGAAAUUCGCUAGAUCUUGCUUCUGCUGUGACGCUUAUGAGGAGAUCAGCCUUCGGCGGGCGGGUGGUGGCACAGCUCACUGCUCGUACCCAUUUUGCCGAAAAUGGAUCAGCAACAAACUUCUGUAACAUCACUGUAUCACUUCUCCAAUGUCUGGCCGAAGCCCCAUGACUGGGCAGGCUGUUUCUCUGCCAGUUGAAUUUCCUUCCCUCAGAGAGGAUCCUGUUUUACAAAUGCCAGCUGCUCUAAAGCAUCAGUGAAGCUAUUAACUACCUUUGGGAAUUAGAUUAAUAAGGUCAAAGGCCAAACUGUGCAAUGGAUGUUCAGUCACAAUGCUGAUGGCUUGCUGGUUCUAUCCCCUCUUUUUUAAUUGCCACCAUCAAAUCAUGUACUCAUGAAAUGGAAGCGUGUUUCUGCCUCUGUAGGUGUUACAGCUAACAUUUACAUGUCAGUGAUGCUUUCCAGAUGGAUCCUCAAAUGUUUUCUGGUCCUGAUGGAGUCUAUAGCACAGUGCAGAGACACUGGCAGAAGUGUGCGAGGCUUGCGCUGCUUCCCAGCAUACUGAUUGGAGAUCCGGUCAAGACAAAUAAUGCAAAAGAAGACUCAAAUUAGUAUGUUCUUGCUCCGCUCAGAAGCAGAAUGUUGUCUUGUAGCCAUGCUUUCUGAUGCAAAUGUAGUUAGAACAAAAAAAGCACCUGAGUUUACUAAGGUUGCAUAUCUUUAUAAAAUAGCCAGCAGCCAGUUGGUUAGGGUAUUGCUAUAAGAGACAGGCAUUUGUGUUUAAAGUACUUUUGAGUUUGGAGUCCAGAUAAAAACCAAGUUCCUUGUGGUUCUGGGAAUGGGCCGUAGUCUAUUAAUAGUGAAAACAGAGCUAUAAUCAAGUAUCUAUCUUCAUCUGUAUUUGACAUGGCUUCUCAGUUACAUAUUUUCUCAGCAGUGCUUCCUUGGGCGCGUAAUUCAGGGCCAAGAACUGUACUGAUUGGUAAUGUGCCAAAACUAAGGUAUUUCAGCACAGAUUAUUUCUGAGGAUUUUGACUAUGAGGUCUUAUGUUUCCACUUUGCAGUAUCCUGAGUAUAAAUUAAUGGAAAGAAUAGUAGACAAAACUAUUCCUUGGUACAAGGAAGGUAACUUCUAAGUUACAGAGCAAUUCAGGAGACUUCAUAGAAGCAUAAGUGAGACUUAGUUCAACUGAAAAUAUAAUGAGAAACUUCCAUGCACCUGAAGUCACAACAUGCAAGUUACUCCUCUAGUACUGUCAAAACCACUCUUGCCCCUUGUAUCCUGCCUGUAUUGCUUGAAUUGAAUUUCCAGUUUCUUUUUUUUUUUAUUAUUUUUUAUUUGAACUACUGUUCGGAUGACUCAAGAGGUGCCAUAAAGGCCUAUGUAUUGUUUCAACUCUUCAAGAUGUAUCCAACUCCUGAAAUCACUACAGAAAAGUUGAUAUGGAAGAAAAAUUCAGCUUCAACACUGGGAUUCAAGCUGUCAUCUCAUUUGAUGUCAGGGUAGUUGUGGUAUCUCAGGCAUCCAGGUUCAUUGGCAAAUAGGACAAGCCUGAGCGCAUAUAGAGGAACCCAGUCUCAGGAAAAUAGCUUCAUGUAGCAUGGAGCAGGGGAAGGCUGACCUGCUGCAUAUCUACUUUUUCAUUUUACUCUCACAUCAAUAUUACUUUUCACUGCCAUCAGCUCCAACAAUCAAGUGCUUAGCUUGCCAUUGUCAACUAAGGGAGGACCUUUUUAGAGAUGGUGGUGAUCCUACCAUUUUUUUAUGAGCAAGAGUAUGGUAGUCUGUCAUGAAUGUUCACUACAAAUUCACUAUAAAUCUGUUGAUAGGAGGUCCUGACUGGAGGCUUGUUUGCUACAAUAAAUGCUGUCUAGCAUCAGGAAUGCUGCUUCUCGCAAAGCAUGAAGCUCCUUGCUGCAAGUCUCCUGAAUGACAAACACAUGAGGCCUGAUCUGCUUUUUCCUAUGUCAUGAAAAACACAUUUAAAAAAAGGUUUUCCAGGUGUGGAGUCAACCUUAUGCUUAUAAUAGCCCAGAGGACCUCUAACUAUAAGCCAAAUCCUUCUGCAGUAGCCCAGGAGAAAUGUGACAACAAUCUUGGAUUUUUGUGAUGAGAUAUACCUACUGAAAAAAGCAAGAUAACCAAAAGAACCCACAGGAUGCCAUUUUGUGUAUUACAAAAUAUAAAUCUAACGCAUUAUUGCCACCUUGCCAGAUUUUAGUCAAGAUUCCUGGAGUAUGUGACUAUUGGGCAUAUAAGGGAAAGCAGCGUAAACUAAUACAACCUGACAAUAGGCCUAGCGAUCGUGUGGCUGUGCAGAAUGCAAGAUCAGCUUGCUGAUCCGCGUGAAACGUAUAACAGGAAAGAAAAAAAAUUAUUCAUCUUGUGAUAAUUACUAGGGCAAACAGCGUCAGCUAUUGUUCACAUAAUACAGAUUCCAAGCUGUGAAUCAACGUCCAUGAGAUUUAAAUUCAAUAUGAUAAGAACCAAGAACACAAAAUGCACUACUGCUAAGGUAUUUUAUUUCAUGAAAACCAAAACAAACAGGCCUAGUCUCGUGGAGAAGACAUAAAGGCACAUUAUUACAUUUUUCCAGAUGGAAAAGUCUAAAGAAAAUCAUGUUUAAAGCAUAGAGGGUUGAGCAGGAUAUAGGAAGAAAACUAGAAUGAACUAAAAGUAGUUGUUACCUGACUGAAUGGCUAUGCACUGUGGCGCAGAAGCUUUCAAGCAGGGUUGGGGAUCAUCAACAGGCCGAACUAUAUGUUACAUCAUAAAGUACAGUGCAUGAAAGUAAUUUAAAAACGCCAAGCAUUUUUAUUAUUGCUUUGUCAAUGAUGUAGAUUCUUUUAAUGUUUUAUCCAUUUUUUGUUUGUUGUCAAGCCUGCAAACAUAUUAAACAUUUAUAGGAUCCUCUAUAAAAUUAUUUCUUGUUGUUUUUUUGCUACUACAUCUAGUAAAAUAGUCUUGCACUUCUGUUUAUGUGUCUUGUUAUUUUUUGUACCACAUCCAUUUUUGUGAAAUAAAGAGAUAGCAAAUAAGAAAAAAACAAUUAAUAAACAGUGCAAAAGGUAAGUUGCUUUCUAGUGUGGUGGCCGGGGGG